AGUCAACAAAUAUGCCUAGUGAGUGAAUUUUUAAUAUUAUUUUCUCUAUUUACCUAAGAUGGGUAACUCAGUUGGUCACACAAGCUGAGUGUGUGGGAAGAGCUCUCGAGUUCGAUUCCCGCACAAUACACUCUAGAGGAGGGAUGAUAAACCUUAACUGUGACUAAAUCUCGAAUCUGACGCAUCCAAAGGGUGGCAGGGUACCAUAUGUUUAUAAAAAAAAUAUUAUUUUCUCUAUUUUGAUUUAUCUUUGAGAACACAUGGGAUGUCAUGUCUAAUGGUUUGUUUAAUCUCUCUGUGAUUGGUACUUGAACGAAGCAACAUUAAAGGGAUACAUCCAGGUUCUUAGAUGCUUCACGUUGGCAAAUCAGGUUAAUGUAGUGUUGAAAGGAAAUCUUAGGAGAGAACACCAAAGGAACUCAAGAAUGAGAAGCGAACAAAGAUGAAAGAAAGAAAGUUGAAAAUCCAAAGGAGGAGAAAAAACCUGAAGAGAAGGAAAAGCUCAGGUUAUGGUGAGAAGAAAAAAGAGUUUUGCCUAUAUUGUUGGAGUGGAGAGAUGAACUUGAGGUGACUCAAAUUAACCAAAGCACUUGAUUGGUAAAAGGGUGCACAAAUGGAUUGAUUUUUACUAUAUAAGGUCGGUGGUCAAAUCAACUUUGAUCACGCUGUGUUAGAAUUGUAUUGCAACCUUUAAAAGGAAUAGGCGGUCGGGACAAAACCACAUGCAUUGAUGCAUACAAAAUUUAAAUUUGUGAUAAAAGGGAUUCACCUCCUCCUGCAUAAUGGCGACAAUCAUCAACCGGUGAUUGGUUCAAGUUAUACAUGCUUGAUUCCCGUUAAGUAGGGUCUCGAGUUCGAGUCUUGUGAGGGGGAGAAGGGGAACCCCGCUGGGAGAGUUAGCCCCACCAUGAUGUGAAUAUUCUUGGCUCGUACAAGAUUGCCUCCAAAGGAGGGCACCUGUCUCAAAUAAAAAAAAAAAGAAUGCCAAAAAUAUGACUAUUGGAUUGAUCUGAUGCUAGCGAAUAAAGUGGCACACCUUAUCAUGCGCUACGCAUGAAAAAAUCCAACAAUGUAUUGCUUUAAUAGAGUUAUGUUUGAUUUUAAAUGGAACGCCACACAAUCACUCUUGCCCUAUGCUGAUGAAAAUUUGGGUUUGUAAA